rnacentral:tRNA from 2 species
GGCGAGGUAGCUCAGGCGGUUAGAGCGCAGGAUUCAUAACCCUGAGGUCAAGGGUUCAACUCCCUUUCUCGCUACGA